AUGCCGAGGCUUUUCUCCUCCUGCCACUUCGUCUUCUCUCUUCUCCUCUACCAAUUCGUUUUCUCCCCGUGAAACCAAUUCGAGUCGGUUUUCUUCAAGAGUGAAGGAAGCUGAUUGAGGAUAUAGAUGAGUACGACGGUGACAACCCUCUCUUCCCAUGGAUAAAGCGUGUUAAAUGGGUGCAGGAGGCGUUUCCUCCGGGUGGAGAGUGCUCGGGUCUGUUGGUGAUAUACGAGCAGUGCGUGAGAAGUUCUGGCACUCGGACCGGUACAAGGAUGAUCUUCGUUACCUCAAAGUCUGUUUACUAGAGGGAAGUGGUUUAUCCUUUUGAAGGCGGAGCAUUGCGCUGAUGCGGAAGUGAUUUAUAAGUUUUUGGACGUUAAUGAUAUUGGGAGGACGCAUGGUUUGUACUACAGAGAUUAUGGGUUGAACAUGGAGUAUAAGGGUAAAGUGAAGACUGCUAAUGAGAUCUUCAAUCUCAGAAUCUCUAGGAAUGCAAAGCCUGUGGAGAAGUUGAAUGAUGCUUACAAGAAGUUUAUGGUGAGAACUAUGAGAAGGACCAAAACAGUUGAUGAUAUAAGAAGUUUCUUCUGUAAGUUUAUCUAUGCUUAAGUUUUUUUUUUCCACAUGAUGAUUUAUUU